rnacentral:rRNA from 1 species
CCUACGGGUGGCUGCAGUGAGGAAUAUUGGUCAAUGGGCGGAAGCCUGAACCAGCCAAGUCGCGUGAGGGAUUAAGGCCCUGCGGGUCGUAAACCUCUUUUGCCGGGGAGCAGAGGUCCGGACGUGUCCGGGCCGGGAGAUUACCCGGAGAAAAAGCAUCGGCUAACUCCGUGCCAGCAGCCGCGGUAUUACGGGGGAUGCGGGCGUUAUCCGGAUUUAUUGGGUUUAAAGGUUGCGUAGGCGGGCAUUUAACCCGUCGGUCAAGUGUCGGGGCUCAACCCCGGCCUGCCGUCGGAACUGGGUGCCUUGAGUGGGCGAGAAGUAUGCGGAAUGCGUGGUGUAGCGGUGAAAUGCAUAGAUAUCACGCAGAACCCCGAUUGCGAAGGCAGCAUACCGGCGCCCUACUGACGCUGAGGCACGAAAGUGCGGGUAUCGAACAGGAUUAGAUACCCCGGUAGUC